AGUGGACUCUUUUUUCUCUAACCCCGCAAGCUAGGACUGUGACCAAAGAGAGACAUAAAACCAGAAAGUUCUUCUGCAAUUAAUAUUCACAACUAACUGACUAAAUAUUCUGGUCAAGGAUGAGCAGUGAUUUGGUACCUAGUACAGAUGUGCAUGGUGUGAUGCCAACCAGCCCCUGGCCAGUCUCUGCGAGCCUAGAAGCAUACAUACUUAAGGGAGUGCAGGUCUUGCCCUGCCACCUGCAGCAGCGCACCCCGCCUCCCCCACCUCUUUCCCCUCCGUCUGGUCCUCCUUUCUCCAUCUGUCCCUUAGGGCUUAGGAGCUGAGCCCAAGGCUUCUGUAGGCUAUCACCAUCCCUGGGCUGCAUUCUUCCUUCUGAGAGGGGGCAGGGCAGGAUGAGAAGUGACCUCAAUUUAGCUAAAUUCAGGAGUGAGAUGACAUCCAUUUCACUAUCUUUUGCUUUUUAUGGAAAAAACUAUCUCUUUAGGCAAAUUUCUUACAUAGUUGCUUAAUCUUGUCUACAAUGUGCUUUAUUUAAGAGUUUCACUCCCAGAGGAGGAUUUUGUUCUUCAGUUGUGGAGUGAUCUCUAUCACCAGUGACUAAAGAUGUUGGAGCACAGAAAGCCAUACCGCAAAAUAUGAUGCUUCGGCAUGCUGAGUGCUUUGAAAAUUGAAAGGCCUCGGAAAUAAGCCUCAGUCUAAGGUCUCCCUCUGACCUCCCCCUACCUCCCUUUCUCUCUGAUCCCGUCUCUCCCAAAGCACAGAAUGAAGCUGUUCGCUGAAGUUCUCUUAUCUACCUAGAAACUGGACCCCCAAAGAGGAACACAAUUGCCUUUUAUCCCUUCCCUGAAAUUUCAUUAACCAGAGAAAAUUAAAACUUCUAUCACAGAGGAAGAGACUGAACAUUAAACACCAUAGCUACAGCCCAGACAAACUUCUUCCCAAACCAUUGUUUGUUCUUCCGCCCCAUUAAAUUGCCAGAGAAUCAUUCACAAGAUAAAGUCUGCCUUUGGGACCAUUCAUUUCCCACUAAAAAUCUUUCACUCCUACACCCUCAUCUCUCCUUCCUCCAUGAAGAAGUGUCUAUAAACCUCUAAGCCUCAUUGGGUUAUUGGGUAAUCAUUCUCAUGCAGUUCCCCUGUGCUCUGCAUUUUAAAUAAAUUUGUAUGCCUUUUUCUCC